UGCAGUCGAACGAAGUAGCAAUACUUAGUGGCAGACGGGUGAGUAACAUGUGGGUAUCUGCCCUUUGGCCUGGAAUAACACGAGGAAACUUGUGCUAAUACCGGAUAAGUCUUAACGGAGAAAGCUUUAUGCACCAUUGGAUGAGCCUGCACUUGAUUAGUUUGUUGGUGGGGUAAUGGCCUACCAAGACUGUGAUCAAUAGCUGAUUUGAGAGGAUGAUCAGCCACAUUGGGACUGAGACACGGCCCAAACUCCUACGGGAGGCAGCAGUGGGGAAUCUUGCACAAUGGAGGAGACUCUGAUGCAGCGAUGCCGCGUGAGUGAAGAAGGCCUUUGGGUUGUAAAGCUCUUUCGUCGGGGAAGAAAAUGACUGUACCCGAAUAAGAAGGUCCGGCUAACUUCGUGCCAGCAGCCGCGGUAAUACGAAGGGACCUAGCGUAGUUCGGAAUUACUGGGCUUAAAGAGUUCGUAGGUGGUUGAAAAAGUUGGUGGUGAAAUCCCAGAGCUUAACUCUGGAACUGCCAUCAAAACUUUUCAGCUAGAGUAUGAUAGAGGAAAGCAGAAUUUCUAGUGUAGAGGUGAAAUUCGUAGAUAUUAGAAAGAAUACCAAUUGUGAAGGCAGCUUUCUGGAUCAUUACUGACACUGAGGAACGAAAGCAUGGGUGGCGAAAAGGAUUAGAUACCCUCGUAGUCCAUGCCGUAAACGAUGUGUGUU
rnacentral:rRNA from 1 species